CGAAAAACAGAAUUCAUGUACUAAGUGAAGAUGUCACAUUAUUUUCGACGUAACUCUAACAUAUUUCACUCGAUUGUAUGGUAUUUUUAUUAAAUUUAUAUCUAUUAGAUAUUCAUUAAUAUGAAAAUAUCUAAAAUAACAAAAUAUGUUCAAAAUACUAAAAUAUGUUAUUAUCUCCAUCUAAAUAUUUAAAUGAAACUAUUUUUAUGUAAAUUUAAGUAUUUAGUCUUACAUUAUUCAAAAUUUUAUCUUUUAUAUUAUUUUUAUUUUUGGAUUUUGAGGAUUAAGUAUAUUUGGAUUUUUGUUAAAAUAUUACAUAAUUAAAAUAUGUAUCUGAACUCAAAC
rnacentral:lncRNA from 1 species